ensembl:lncRNA LINC01934 long intergenic non-protein coding RNA 1934
AUGUCCACAGAAAAAAGACCAUGUGAGGAGAUAGCAAGAAUACCCUAUCUGCAAGCCAUGGAGAGGUCUCAGCAGAAACCAAAACUGCCAACAACUUAAUCUUGGACUUCUAUCCUCUAUAAAUCCUACUCAACGUGAAGAUGAUGAGAAUGAAGACCUUUAUGAUGAUCUGCUUCCACUUAAAGAAUAGUAUUUGGCUGACUCCUGGACUAUGCAAGCACAAGAAGAGAUUUCAGAAGGUUUGGAAGAGAGUCUCUUCUGAGAGGCUGAGGGCUAAGAAGACUGCCCUGUGCAGGAAAGAUGUUGGAGUGCAAGCCCAUCUGGAAUGGAGAGACCUCGAUGAAACACAUAGGCAAUUAAUUAGAUCCCAGAAAGGCCACACUGUGCAAAACCCUGAGGUAUCAUGAAGAAAUCCAUAUGCCCUGAAGUUACCAUCCUAGAGACAUCAUUUGGAGAGACUACAGUGCACAGAAGUAGAGAGGCCCAGCUGUGCCUGUCCCCAACUGAUGGAGUCUUCUCAGUGUCAGUCACCAGACAUACCCUGAAACAAGAUGGUGCUGGUAACAUCAUAGGAAAUUAGAUCUAGAAGAUGUGGUCUAGUCUCUUCUCUUGCAUACUCAUGGCCCAUCAUGAUCUGAAGGCAGCGGUGGUUGCUGGUGGAGGAUGUGAGCUUUGGAACUGGAGCUCUUUGAUUCAAAGCUCUGCCGCUUACUCACUGGAUAAGACCAUGAUCAAGUUAUUUCAUCUGAAAAAUUGAGUUGACUGCAGGUAACUGAAACUGCGGAAAGUGAAACUGCAGAUAAGAGGGACCACUGUAAAUAAGUGACAUGAAUGAUACUGCAAAGGACCAUAGCCUAACCAGCCAAGCAAACUGGAAGUACCUUUAGACUCACGCUUUGCCAAGCUCAGUUCCAGAAUCACAUGAUGAAAAGAAUGAUGGAAAGAAAAUGUUUGUGAUAUUAAAAUUAAGGAAAUUACUCCAACUCA